CAGUUACAAGAUAUAAAAAGUCGACUCUGGAUGGCAUAUUUGGUUCAACGUUGUUUUGUUUCAUAGUGCCUUUUUAAAAUGGCGGGUCAGUUAACUGUUCACGACUUUUUAUAUCUAUGACUGUUGAGUGUCUCCUCUUGUGUUUUCAUCCCUCGUUGGGUCCCCAGGCUGAACUGAACUUUCUUCCCUCCCUGUAGGGCCCACUCCACUCCACUCCACCAAACGGCACGGGGACCCACAGUUGUGCCGUGACGUCACUUGG